rnacentral:rRNA from 1 species
AACGAACGCUGGCGGCGUGCUUAAUACAUGCAAGUCGAACGUGAAGGCGUAGCAAUACGUCUGAAAGUGGCGAACGGGUGAGUAACACGUAAGUAAUCUGCCUCCAAGAUUGGGAUAACCCUGCCAACGCGGGGCUAAUACCGGAUGUGGUCCAGUUGACUGAUGUUAGCUGGAUUAAAGGUUGAAAAGCCACUUGGAGAUGAGCUUGCGGCCCAUUAGCUAGUUGGUGAGGUAACGGCUCACCAAGGCGACGAUGGGUAGCCGGCCUGAGAGGGUGUACGGCCACAUUGGGACUGAGAUACGGCCCAGACUCCUACGGGAGGCAG